AUGUGUUUAUUUACCUGCCGUGUGUAUUAUUUAUUUUCCCGUACAUUUCCUUCAUUUUUAUUACUACAUAUUUCAUACAAGCAUCAAGGAGAGAUUAAGAUGGCGCUGAAACCAAGUUGUAUGAUGACGAUACACUCUGACCAAGCAGUAUGGGCGUUUCCACUUCAUUCGCGGGGUUUUCAAACGCUGGCUUUCCACCUAUGUAUAAAGGCAUGUGCAGUGGUCUUCCCGAAAUUUUCUCGCACAUUUCCUGAUAAAGGUGCUGUUCCUUGUCCCUAUAACUGUGGAAUUUGAGAAAGACCAUGAAUACAACAAUUGCUCAAAACUAUGUUUCCAGUAAUAUGUUUCUAUACUAUAAAAAACAACAACCAAAGCAAUAUAAAAGAAACAAACAAAAAGGAAAAUAAAAUAAAUUGGUAUACAAUAAAGAUAUCCACACUUUUAUUUUUUAAUUCAUUUAAUUUGGAGAGAAAUUCCUGAAAAGAAUUGUUUAACCACUAUGUGCUGACAAACCGAGAAAAGUGAUAACACAUCUAACAAUCCCAAUGACAAAUCAUCGCACAUGUUGCGAAGUUGUGUUGUCAUCGCGUAACGAU